GAUGAAGAACGUAGCGAAAUGCGAUAAGUAAUGUGAAUUGCAGAAUUCAGUGAAUCAUCGAAUCUUUGAACGCACAUUGCGCCCGCCAGUAUUCUGGCGGGCAUGCCUGUUCGAGCGUCAUUACAACCCUCAGGCCCCCGGGCCUGGCGUUGGGGAUCGGCGGAAGCCCCCCGUGGGCACACGCCGUCCCCCAAAUGCAGUGGCGGUCCCGCCGCAGCUUCCAUCGCGUAGUAGCUAACACCUCGCGACUGGAGAGCGGCGCGGCCACGCCGUAAAACACCCAACUCUUCUGAAGUUGACCUCGAAUCAGGUAGGAAUACCCGCUGAACUUAAGCAUAUCAAUAAGCGGAGGA
rnacentral:misc_RNA from 1 species